rnacentral:lncRNA from 1 species
AGAUCCUCGUCACAUCCUCACAAAUUAAGACAAUGGUUAUUUUUCAGCCCUUCCUAUUUAAUCAAACCUCAUUUGACAAAUGAGGGCACCGCAAGUCUCUCUAUAAAGUCUCUUGCUCUCCCAUAAUAGUUUCCGUCUAUCUCUUUCUCACGCUCUCUCUCUUUGCUCGUCAACCUUGAUCGGCCGGCGAGAAAGAUGAGAGAGAUGGACGAGAUGCGGUCAACUUAUGUGUCACCCUAUGGGCCCAGUGGUGACCGGAGCUUUGACAAUGAGGGUUAUGCGUGGGAGAGUAAGAAAAAUUCAUCACAUAAAUCUUCGUCAAUCUACAGUUUCAGCCAAUCAGAGCUUAAGAGACAACGUCGAGUAGCCAAAUACAAGUCCUAUGUCGUUGAAGCCAAAUUUAAAUCCGCUUUAAAGAAUGGGGUACGUUGGUUCAAGAACAAGUAUUCUGCGCUUGUAUAUGCGUAGAUUGAGAGAAUGUAAAGGAAUCUAUCUCAGAUAUGCCAAAACAUUUUGCAUGUAAAUUCUAGCUAGCUAGAUUUGCAUGCAUUUGGGGUGUUAAUUAGCCUUCAAUUAAGGUUGUUUAAUUAAUUCUUUCAAUUUAGUGUGAUCUGUCAUUCAUAUUUUCCAGCCAACACUUUUUGUUCAAUUUAUGUUAUGGAUUAUUAACAUGAGAAUCAUUCAAAAGGCUUUCUGGGAUCAAUGUGAUAAAUGUCAAUCAAGGUAGUAUUAUGGCCAAUUCUUCUUCUUCUUUGAUAAUUUGUCGAAUCUGAAAUGUUUAAGCUAGACAUUGGCUCAUGAAUUCCUUCUUAUGAUAUAUGGGAUUUACAAAGAGCGAAAAGAUGAUUGAUCUUGGUAUAUAAUCUAGAUCAGCUUAAGGUUUGUGAGAGUAUAGCAUAUUAAUUUGUUUAACAAGAGAAUGUAUAUUUACCAAACAGGAAAAAUAACUGCAAGCCAUAAAGAAAUCGGUUACCCAAAAAU